AAUGAACGCUGGCGGCAUGCCUAACACAUGCAAGUCGAGCGGAUGAAUGGAGCUUGCUCCUGGAUUCAGCGGCGGACGGUUGGGUCAUGCCUAUGAAUCUGCCUUGUCGUGGGGGAUGACGUCCGAAAACGGGCGCUAAUACCGCAUACGACCAGAUAGAGAAUUUGGGGGAUCUUCGGACCUCACGCUAUCUGAUGAGGCUAGGUGCGAUUACCUAGUUGGGGGGGUAAAGGCCUACCCAGGCGACGAUCCGUAACUGGUCUGAGAGGAUGAUCAGUCAGACGGGAAGUGAGACACGGUCCAGACUCCUACAGGAGGAAGCAGUGGGGAAUAUUGCGCAAAGGGCGAAAGCCUGAUAGAGCAAUGCCGCGUGAGUGAUGAAGGACUUCGGAUUGUAAAGCACUGAAAGUUGGGAGGAAGGAAAGUAAGUUUAUCCCUGACUGUAUUGACGGUACCAACAGAAUAAGCACCGGCUAACUUCGUG
rnacentral:rRNA from 1 species